GAUGAACGCUGGCGGCGUGCCUAAUACAUGCAAGUCGAGCGAAUGGAUUAAGAGCUUGCUCUUAUGAAGUUAGCGGCGGACGGGUGAGUAACACGUGGGUAACCUGCCCAUAAGACUGGGAUAACUCCGGGAAACCGGGGCUAAUACCGGAUAACAUUUUGAACCGCAUGGUUCGAAAUUGAAAGGCGGCUUCGGCUGUCACUUAUGGAUGGACCCGCGUCGCAUUAGCUAGUUGGUGAGGUAACGGCUCACCAAGGCAACGAUGCGUAGCCGACCUGAGAGGGUGAGCGGCCACACUGGGACUGAGACACGGCCCAGACUCCUACGGGAGGCAGCAGUAGGGAAUCUUCCGCAAUGGACGAAAGUCUGACGGAGAAACGCCGCGUGAGUGAUGAAGGCUUUCGGGUCGUAAAACUCUGUUGUUAGGGAAGAACAAGUGCUAGUUGAAUAAGCUGACACCUUGACGGUACCUAACCAGAAAGCCACGGCUAACUACGUGCCAGCCGCCGCUGUAA
rnacentral:rRNA from 1 species